UGCGGGGUCGGCUAACGGUAGGCCAGCAGACUCUGAAUCUGCUUAUCCUGGUUCGAAUCCAGGCCCCGCAG
rnacentral:tRNA from 1 species